UACUAGAAGGUUCGAUUAGUCUUUCGCCCCCAUGCUCAUAUUUGACGAUCGAUUUGCACGUCAGAACCGCUGCGAGCCUCCACCAGAGUUUCCUCUGGCUUCACCCUAUACAAGCAUAGUUCACCUUCUUUCGGGUCCAACCCUAUAUGCUCUUACUCAAAUCCAUCCGAGAACAUCAGAAUCGGUCGAUGAUGCGCCGAAGCUCUCACCUACGUUCACGUUCAUUACGCGCUGGGGUUUUACACCCAAACACUCGCACAUAAGGUUGACUCCUUGGUCCGUGUUUCAAGACGGGUCGCUGAUGACCAUUACGCCAACAUCCUUGCCGAAGCGCGGUCCUCAGUCUGCCGAAUGGUAUUAUGCAAAGGGCUAUAACACUCCCGAAAGAGCCACAUUCCCUAAGCCUUUCUCCCAAACAACAAACUGAUGUUGGCCUGUACUGGACAGAGUAAACAAGUCCGAGAACGAGCAAAACUGACAGAAACAAGUCUGGUCAUAGGCGCUUCCCUUUCAACAAUUUCACGUGCUGUUUAACUCUCUUUUCAAAGUGCUUUUCAUCUUUCGAUCACUCUACUUGUGCGCUAUCGGUCUCUAGCCGGUAUUUAGCUUUAGAAGAGAUAUACCUCCCAUUUAGAGCAGCAUUCCCAAACUACUCGACUCGUUGAAGGAGCUAUACAAAGGUUUGGUAUCCAACCGUACGGGGCUCUCACCCUCUCUGGCGUCCCGUUCCAGGGAACUCGGAAGGCACCUCACCAAAAGCAUCCUCUACAAAUUACAACUCGAACUACAAANNGUAGCCAGAUUUCAAAUUUGAGCUGUUGCNNUUCGCUCGCCGCUACUAAGGCAAUCCCUGUUGGUUUCUUUUCCUCCGCUUAUUGAUA
rnacentral:rRNA from 1 species